rnacentral:RNase_P_RNA from 2 species
ACGUUCGGGUAAUCGCUGCGAUGAGCGUUUCGCGAAUCGUUGAGGAAAGUCCAUGCUCGCACGAGCUGCGAUGCUCGUAGUGUUCGUGCCUAGUGAAUUCAUAAGCUAGGGCAGCUGAGUCUAGCAUUCAGUUGACGGCCGGGAAAAUACCUAAGUCCCAUCUGGAUAUGGUAUGAAUACCUAUAAAAGUGCCACAGUGACGUAGCCUUUCUGGAAACAGAAAGGGUGGAACGGGUAAACCCCACGAGCGAGAAACCCAAAUUAUGGUAGGGGCGUUUUCUCUGAGGAAUUGAACAAGGAGAAAGACAGGUUCUUUCUGAAUCUGUAGAUAGAUGAUUACCACCUAAGUACGAGACCUAAUAGUCGCUUGCAGUACUAUGGUACAGAACAUGGCUUACAGAA